UACGGUGGCUUUGCCCCCCUCUUUACUCUUCAGUGUACCCUUGACGUACAUCUCUGCGGCAUCGACCACAAAGACGGCUGAUUUGGCAUCAAAAGAGGCACUAAAAUUGGACGUGGAGAAGUGCUCUGAUCCCACUGGUGUUUAAUUUCAAGCAAACUGCAGUGUUCAGUGGAAAAAGCUUCCUGACACCUCUAAGUGCAAUGCUGUGUGACAUCUUCACAAUGCCCAUUUCUGACAUCUCAAAUUUGGUUAAUGUGACACUCCCAAACCUGGCUUUUGCACUGAAGCAGACAGAGAGGUUGCAAAGCAGCUGAACAGGAGGUGGUUGAUGCCAGUAAGGGUGUGGCACUACACACUCAGAUGACUUUGCCCCACCUUUCCAACAUCUCUACUCUUGGCUCUCAGCUUGUUGACCUGGGAUUCAGCAAUGUCAGCACGCUCCUGAGCUUCUUCCAUCUCAUGCUGGACUUUCCUGUACCUGGACAG